GAGUUUGAUCCUGGCUCAGGAUGAACGCUGGCGGCGUGCCUAAUACAUGCAAGUCGAGCGAACAGACGGGGAGCUUGCUCCCCUGACGUUAGCGGCGGACGGGUGAGUAACACGUGGGUAACCUACCUAUAAGACUGGAAUAACUCCGGGAAACCGGGGCUAAUGCCGGAUAACAUGUUGGACCGCAUGGUCCUACAGUGAAAGACGGUCUUGCUGUCACUUAUAGGUGGACCCGCGCCGUAUUAGCUAGUUGGUAAGGUAACGGCUUACCAAGGCAACGAUACGUAGCCGACCUGAGAGGGUGAUCGGCCACACUGGAACUGAGACACGGUCCAGACUCCUACGGGAGGCAGCAGUAGGGAAUCUUCCGCAAUGGGCGAAAGCCCGACGGAGCAACGCCGCGUGAGUGAUGAAGGCCUCGGUCGUAAACUA
rnacentral:rRNA from 1 species